rnacentral:rRNA from 1 species
CCUACGGGUGGCAGCAGUGGGGGAUAUUGCACAAUGGGGGAAACCCUGAUGCAGCGACGCAGCGUGGGUGAAGAAGCGCCUCGGCGCGUAAAGCUCUGUCAGCAGGGAAGUAAAUGACGGUACCUGAAGAAGAAGCCCCGGCUAACUACGUGCCAGCAGCCGCGGUAAUACGUAGGGGGCAAGCGUUAUCCGGAUUUACUGGGUGUAAAGGGGGCGCAGACGGCGAUGCAAGCCAGGAGUGAAAGCCCGGGGCCCAACCCCGGGAGUGCUGUUGGAACUGCGUGGCUAGAGUGCAGGAGGGGCAGGCGGAAUUCCUGGUGUAGCGGUGAAAUGCGUAGAUAUCAGGAGGAACACCGGUGGCGAAGGCGGCCUGCUGGACUGCAACUGACGUUGAGGCCCGAAAGCGUGGGGAGCAAACAGGAUUAGAUACCCGGGUAGUC